AGUGAACGCUGGCGGCGUGCCUAAUACAUGCAAGUCGAACGGAGUGGCGCACGGGUGAGUAAUGUAUAGCUAAUCUGCCCUACACUAGAGGACAACAGUUGGAAACGACUGCUAAUACUCCAUAGUGUAGGAUGAGGCUAUAUUGUAUCAGCUAGUUGGUGAGGUAAUGGCUCACUAACGCGAUGACGCAUAACUGGUCUGAGAGGAUGAUCAGUCGCACUGGAAGGGAGACACGGGCCAGACACCUACUGGAGGCAGCAGUAGGGAGUAGUGCUCAAUGGGCGAAACCCUGGAGCAGCAACGCCGCGUGGAGGAUGACACUUUGCGAAGCGUAAACUCCUUUUGUUAGGGAAGCGGUACCUAACGAAUAAGCACCGGCUAACUCCGUGCCAGCAGCCGCGGUAAUUC
rnacentral:rRNA from 1 species